rnacentral:lncRNA from 10 species
AGGCUGUCAAAGGCAAUUGCCACAAGAGGUCAACGCCAAGGCUGCUCUGCAGAUAUGACCAGGGCUCAUUUUUUCCAUGAUCUUAGAGAAACUGGAUAAGCCCGGGGCAAAUCGGGCCCAGAGAUGAGAUGGUAGGACAUUAUGGCAGGCCCUGAAACCCCAGCGUGCCCCAGCAGAGGCCUGUGGUGGCCUCUGGGGAGGUGGGCGGUGGUGGAGGUCCGUGUGAGAGGGCAGCAGCAGCAGCAGAUUAGGCCCUGUGGAAGCCCACUUCCUUCCAGAGACAGUGCCAGGGGAGGAAGGGUCCAGACUGAGGGCAGGACGGGCCAGGGGGUGUGGCAGGCGGAUGCCCCCCUGGGCAGGUGACCUCAUCCACCCCUCCCGUGUCGCCUCCUCUGAUCUGCUCCCUCUGGAGAUGGGGAAAUCCAGAGUAGGGGCAACAGGAAGUAUAUUCCCAAGAAGACUGUAGACCCCCGCACAGGGAAACGAUGGAGCUCAGGAGGGGCGCUGAUCUCGGGAGCCUGGAUCCACCAGUUAUGCAAGUGAUGAAGUGAGUACGCACGGUCCUCGAGGCCAGGGCCGGCGCAGUAAGAACGAACAGGUUGUUCUGGAAAAUUGUCUGGCAGCCUCCCCGCGGCCUGCCUGCAGGAACUGGCAUCUGUGGAGUACUUUGCCUUGCUUGUUGAUCCACAGCACUUACCACAUCCUGGAGAAACAGGUCAAUACAGGUGGCCCUCAGGAGCCAUGGGCCCCAUGUUUGGAACUCUGACCCACACAGGGGCAACCUGAACUCCUGAGCCAUAGCCAACCCCUCCCACCCGGGGCCUCUGAUGAGCUGGGCCCCCCUGCAAAUAACGUUCCUGUCUGUUUCCAUCUGUGAGCUCCUGCUCGCGAUCUAAGGCCCAGCUGAAAGUGCUUCUUCCUUCCUGGGCCACCUUCCUUUCAUUCUCAGCUUUUCUAAAUUAUGAACAUUUCAAACAUUCCCAAAGGAGAGAGAGUGCACGAUGCACCUGAACCAUAUGUCGCCCAGAAUCCAUGGCUAUCAAGAUCUUACCACAGUUGCUUCAUGGAUCCCUGCCUCUACUUAUUUCUUUCUGAGUUGCUUUAAUGUUUCACGCCACUUUAUAUCUAUGUACUAGAUUUUGCAUCUCUAAAAUAGAGGGGCAUUUUUAUACGUAAUGAUGUUAUGGUCGUCUGGCCUAAAAAUUGCCAACACUUCCUUGCUAUCUAUCAUUCAAUACCCAGUCCAUAUUGAAAUUUCCCUUCUGAAAAUUAAUUUUUGGAAUCAAGUCUACCAUCGGAUUUGGUUGAAUUUCUGAAGGAAGGGGGUCCAUUGCUCUGCCGAAUGUCCCCACAUGGCUUCUGUCUCCAUCCACCACGUAUGUCCAGCUUGCGGCCCUGACUCUAGGUGCCCUCAAUUAUGCCCACUGUGGAAACGGCCUUUCUGCCACAUCUGAAGCUUGAGCCUUGGAGGCAGGCAUGACGUCUCAUCUCUGUGUUCUUUGUGGUUCCCAAGGCAAUGCGUGGUGUAUCCGAAGUGCUCCACUGAGUCUCGAAAACGUCCCUGCAUUGGAGGGAUCAUGGAGUGAAUUUUGUCUUUGCCACUCCACUUACAACUUCAAGUCUGGAGAUUUUGAAACACCCCAUGACUGGGAGUGACCGCUGGCUCGGAGAGGUUUGUACACAGAGCAGAGGGUAGACUAGAUGACCCUUAAGAUCCACCAUGACUCUGCAAUUCAGGCAUGCGGAACCUGGCUGAUGACAGACAUCGACUUUGUCCUCCAACCUUUUUCCGGGACUUAUCAAUAUUCUCGUGGUUAAAUUCCACAAGCUGGCAUGAUCUGAGGAGGGAAAUUAGGACAUGGUUUCUUGCCAUUACUUUUUACAGCUUGGCAAGGGGCAGGAGGCUGCCAUCCCCUUCUGUGGUUGCUGUGUCAUUCUGUGGGGUUGCUGGAGCCGGGGCCUGAGGUGUCAGGGCGGUGGAAGCUCCUGACCCUGCCCUGCUUUCUGACCCACCUCUCAUCUCACAACCUCUGACCUUGUUUAUUUCUAGAGGCAUAAUCUGUGUGCCAUAUUGUGAGUAAAUGAGAAAAUGUGGCUUGGAUUAUGGAAUUCAGCUUUAUGAUUCAUUUGUUCAGCAAGCUCUUUUUGAGAAUCUAUCUUGUGCCAGGCCCUAGAUUCUGGGGGUUUAAAAAUUGCCAAGACCCAGGCGUGGUGGCUCACGCCGCUAAUCCCAGCAUUUUGGGAGGCCGAGGUGGGCGAAUCACAAGGUCAGGAGUUCGAGACCAGCCUGGCCAACAUGGUGAAAACCCGUCUUUACUAAAAAUACAAAAAAAAUUAGCUAGGCAUGGUGGUGGGUGCCUGUAAUCCCAGCUACUCGGGAGGCUGAGGCAGGAGAAUCGCUUGAACCCAGGAGGCGCAGGUUGCAGUGAGGCGAGAUCUCACCACUGCACUCUAGCCUGGAUGACAGUGCAAGACUCCAUCUGAAAAAAAAAAAAAAAAAAACAACAAAACAAGAACGGCCAAGACCCACCUUGCUAGCAAGAAGUUCACUGUCUAAUGACAGAGACAGACCAAAGUGGCAUAAGAGAGCAAGCCUGAAUGCUAUGAGAGAGACCCAUUUCAGACUGCUGGGGUAUAGGAGGGCUUCCUGGAGGAGGCAGCUUCUAAGUUGAGUCUUAAAGGGUGAAGUACAGACAUGAAAGAAGCAAUGCCUGGGAAGGUACUCAAGAAAAAGCAUGAUGUGGUGGGGAAGGGCUGCAGCCCAGCCCUGUGCCUGCAUCCCACGCAUUUCUACUUGAUUCCUUAGCUCCCUAAACCUUGCUUGUCUCAUCUGUAAGGUGGAGAUAAAAAUAACAGUCUUCUUUUAUUAUGUGAGUUGCAAAUGACAGAGUGCAUGUGAAGGCUCCUGGUGCCAAAAAUGUUAGCAGAAUUGAGUGGAAGCAGAGUGAACACUCACUGAGGGCCGGGAGACUUAGGAGGGAGCUGGACCCCCCGGGAUGCUUUGCUGGAUGACCACAGCUUGGGGAGGGGGCUACUGCCUUUGGAGAAUGGCAACACUAUCAUGCAGCUCAGAAGGCUGGAGUCUAAUACCCUGCUCAGCAACCAGGCAUAGUCCAUUCCAUCACAGAGCCUGGGUUCACCUUGAGGACAGUGAGAACUCAGCCCUGGCCAUGUGGAAGUCAAAGCGUGCAGCACCUACGUACAUGGACCUCACCUGUCAUCCAAGUCUCCAAACCACACUGCAAUACAAACAUCGCCAAAGUAGCAGGCUUCUCUCCUCUGGGUGACAUCCACAGGGCAGAUCUGAGCAACACUUAGUGUCUCCUGGGACCUUCCCAGCCUCGGACAGAAUGGUUGUUAGAGGAACAAGGCACCAGGGGCGUGAUGAGAGCUUAGCUGAAAGGAGAGAAGACUCAGCAAGCACAUCACCUUGAAGCUGACCUGUCAGCCAGAUUUCGCAGCACCUGCCUGUUCCAGCCUGAGGGGCUGCGAUUCAUUCCUUGGGAAAGAGAGCUGCAAAUUCCCGCUCUAGGCCACAGUCCAAAUCCUUGCUCUUCUCUCUCAGGUUCUGGAAGACAGAAUGGAGGCAUCUACAGAGCAAGGACAUGUUUUCUACCUGAAUUAGCUUUUCUGACACCUUCAAACCAUCUCUAAGAAAUUGAUUUUUUAACAUACACAUAUACAGGUAAACAUUUAAAUCUGUGCCAUAAUGUAUUUGCACUUCGAGUCCCCCUGAAGUCCUAAGUCACAUGCUUCUCUUCCUAGGGGUUCUGUCUGAAGCAGAGACCCCUGGAUUGGAGCAGUGGGAAGAAUCCUGAUGAAUCAGGUGUUCCUGCCUGUUUACAUUAACUGGGCACCCUGCCUGCCCACCCCACAUGCUGAAUACUGCUGGGGAGAAGAGAAGAAACAUUUAU